UUCUAGGGUGGCCACAAAAUGAGUUUAGGU
rnacentral:piRNA from 1 species